rnacentral:rRNA from 1 species
GACGAACGCUGGCGGCGUGCUUAACACAUGCAAGUCGAACGGUGAAGGGACCGGUUUUUGCUGGUUCUGGAUGAGUGGCGAACGGGUGAGUAACACGUGAGUAACCUGCCCCCUUCUUCUGGAUAACCGCAUGAAAGUGUGGCUAAUACGGGAUAUUCUGCGCCUGCUGCAUGGUGGGUGUGGGAAAGAUAUUGUUUCGGUGGGGGAUGGGCUCGCGGCCUAUCAGCUUGUUGGUGGGGUGAUGGCCUACCAAGGCGGUGACGGGCAGCCGGCCUGAGAGGGUGGACGGUCACACUGGGACUGAGACACGGCCCAGACUCCUACGGGAGGCAGCAGUGGGGAAUAUUGCACAAUGGGCGCAAGCCUGAUGCAGCGACGCCGCGUGAGGGAUGGAGGCCUUCGGGUUGUAAACCUCUUUCGCCAGUGAAGCAGGCCUGUCCCUUGUGUGGGUGGGUUGACGGUAGCUGGAGAAGAAGCGCCGGCUAACUACGUG